UAAUAAGUGUUUUAUGGCACUUUUUAAAUCCAUAUCCACCUUGUGUGCAAUGUCAGUCAUUCUCUUAUGAGAAUGACCAAACAUCAACCUAUUUUUUAACUCUUUGUCUGAAAAAUAUUAUGAAUAAAUAAUUCAAAAUA
rnacentral:misc_RNA from 1 species